ACGCCUUAUACAUGCAAGUCGAACGAAGUAGCAAUACUUAGUGGCAGACGGGUGAGUAACAUGUGGGUAUCUUCCCUUUGGUGAGGAAUAACACGAGGAAACUUGUGCUAAUACUUCAUAAGUCUUUACAGAGAAAGCUUUAUGCGCCAAUGGAUGAGCCCGCACUUGAUUAGUUUGUUGGUAGGGUAAUGGCCUACCAAGACUGUGAUCAAUAGCUGAUCUGAGAGGAUGAUCAGCCACAUUGGGACUGAGACACGGCCCAAACUCCUACGGGAGGCAGCAGUAGGGAAUAUUGCACAAUGGAGGAAACUCUGAUGCAGCGAUGCCGCGUGAGUGAAGAAGGCCCUUGGGUUGUAAAGCUCUUUCGUCGGGGAAGAAAAUGACUGUACCCGAAUAAGAAGGUCCGGCUAACUUCGUGCCAGCAGCCGCGGUAAUACGAAGGGACCUAGCGUAGUUCGGAAUUACUGGGCUUAAAGAGUUCGUAGGUGGUUAAAAAAGUUGGUUGUGAAAUCCCGAAGCUUAACUUCGGAACUGCAAUCAAAACUUUUUAGCUAGAGUAUGAUAGAGGAAAGCAGAAUUUCUAGUGUAGAGGUGAAAUUCGUAGAUAUUAGAAAGAAUACCAAUUGCGAAGGCAGCUUUCUGGAUCAUUACUGACACUGAGGAACGAAAGCAUGGGUAGCGAAGAGGAUUAGAUACCCUCGUAGUCCAUGCCGUAAACGAUGUGUGUUAGACGUUGGAAAUUAAUUUUUAGUGUCGCAGCGAAAGCAAUAAACACACCGCCUGGGGAGUACGAC
rnacentral:rRNA from 1 species